UGCGUAACGCGUAAUGUGGCGUUUUUUUCGUUGGUAAUAUUCUGGGCACCGACCAACAUGUGUCAGGUUGUUAUCGAAUCACUCUGCCUACGUUUUAUUUCAACUUUAAAGUCACCCAAGUGCUCAUUUUUGUCCCUUCCUUGGCAGCCUGCAUCAUAAAUCGCCAUGACCAGGAGGGCUCCCUCUGCCGGUGAGGACGAGAACUUGCUGCCAUUGAAAAAGGUGAUGUGGAAAGAUGAGCUGCUCACUACAUAAUGGCUGUGCCGGGAAAAGAUCUCCUCUUUGACCUCCUCUUGACCCUCUGCCUGACUCACUGAAGGGGAGCCACCUGCAAAAGGGU